rnacentral:lncRNA from 10 species
AGCCUGGGCGACAGAGUGAGACUCUGUCUCAAAAAAAAAAAAAAAAAAAGAAAGAAAAAGAAAAUGAGAUAACUUACUUCCUCAAUUUUCCCCCUCCCAGCAACCCUCAAAUUUCUAUUUUAAUUGAUUUAAAAUUACUAUCUAGUGUAUUAGUAAAUUUUUUCACACUUCGUUAGUGAAAAAAAAAAGAAUUUUAAAAAACCAACCUGAAAUAUUAGACUUUUUACCUGUAACUGGGUCUGAACAAUCUAGUUCUCAUAAAGCAGAAAAAACCGAAACUUGUGGAAGCAAGCAGCUUAUUAUCAUGAAGAAGACUUCAGCCUUCCAGUUUCUGGAUGAAACUAGGGGCAGUAAUAUUAGAAACCCGAGUGGACCCUUUGCCUGAGAAACAUGUUCAUCUCUUAGUAAUUUGGACUAGAGAGCAUGCAAAAUAUGCAUCAAUAUAAAAUCAACUAACACAGAUUCCAGGGUCACAAGCCCAAAUAACAGUAAGAUCUGUAAAUAUCAAGGAAAACGUAGAUUUAAAAUUUCAGAUCAGAUUCAUUCCUCCACUCACAGCUUAUACAUAUUGUGGUCAGAAGCUGGAAGUAAGCCUAUGCUCUAAUUAACUCUGCUCUGGGAGGCGAGGCUCUCACGAGAGAGAGGAGAGAGAUGGGGGUGGGGGGUGGAGAGGAUUGGGAGCACUUCAGAGAAAAGAUCUGAGAGAAAAGCCUGGGACUCUGCCACCCAGCUCCCUGGCCCCUGGGAGAAGCCAUGGCAGAUAUUUGGGAUGAGGCAGCAUGCUGGUCCCUCAGCAGCAUCCUUAUCACGUCAGCUGUGAGAGAAAUAAAACUGUGAGACUGUGAAGUGUAUAAAGGAUUCUACCGCUCUCCCGGGGCUUGGAGACCCACAGAUUGGAGAAAGGGACCUCUGAGGGUCUAUUUGAGGGCAUGAAUAUGGAAAAUUCAGCUCCAGCUCCUCCACCCCACUCCCUGAACAGCACUGCAGAACUGUGCUAAGCUCCUGUGGCUUGGAAAGAACAGAUGCAAGAGACAUAAUAAAUGCCUCCAAAUAACUUAGUCCUCAACCUGAAGCCAAAGUGAUUUCGGUGUACCAGGAUUGAAAUACUUCUGUAUUCACAACUGAAUGGAUAAACGGGCACUCCUUGUGGCUCCUCAUUGUAUGUCCCCUAGAGGGUCAGCAAGGCCAAGAAUUGGUUUGUGGAACAAAUAUCCAUUACUCCAAUCGGGGAUGAAAAAGAGUACACGCCAUGGAUUUUGCUCUCGGGAGUGAUUGAUUCAGCGAGUGAAAUAAGACCAACAUGCAUGGAAGGGUUGAUGAUGCUAGAAUCUCCCACACUUUGCCAGCCACAGGGAAGUCAAAUCAGUAUUGACUUUGUUAUUCAAAUCAGCACCAGACCGGUCACUUUUAGAAGUGAUACCAUGGGAGGCAAUUAAACCCAGGAAAAUGCUGAGCACUAGAGUGACCAUGCAAGAAGGGGCCUUAGAGAUAGAUCCUGUACGUCUUCACCUGUUGGUGCCAGGGCCAGAACAGAGGCCUGCAAGGGUAAGAGCAAGCUCAGCACCACAGAACUUGUAGGUAACAGAGCCGGGCUCAAGUGCACGCUUCCUGACUGCAAUUUCAACACUCCCAUUCAAGGUGAGAGUGAAAAAUAUUUUCCCCUAGGCUUUCCCCAGUGAUAUUCCCCUAUGCACCAGCAGAGCAUGAGGGUAUGAGACGAAGAUGCACAUCCUAGCCCUAGCUUUGCUACUGACUAGCCACGUGUGUUUGAGCAACUCACAAAACUUCUCCAGAUUUCAGACUCCUCAUUUGUAAAAUAAAGUCAUUUGAUUUGUCCAUUGCUCUCCAUAGUUCACCAAAGUGCCCCUCGUAGGAGAGUGGAAUGGAUGAUGUUUAGAGUAGAAGCUUGGAGAUGUGGCAAUAAGUGACCUUGUGCAAGUGAGAAAUGCACUCAAUAUAUUGGAAUUUGUCUGUCUUAAUAAUUUGUGUGGCUUCUACAUUUUACUUAGUAAUAUAUCUGUGUUUGCUUUCGGGUGAAAAUACUGUUUGAAAUGUCUUACUAUCCAUGAAACUUGGUUUACCAAAGAGGGCCUGUUUUCCCUGAGGUACAAGGACUAGAAGGUUUUCUGAGGCCACCCCCAGCCCCCAUUCAUUGAUUUCGUGUCUUAAGUUGUUUGUGUUUUUUAUUUUAUCACACCCUCCUAUUUCUGGUUCCCAGAAUGUAAGUAGUUCUCCCUCCACAAUGUUCAACAGUCCUCAAUAAUGCCCGGCUAUGUGAAGAUGGAAAGAUGAGGGAAAAUUAGCACCAUAAGCAGAGUCUGGAAAGGUACACAGACAUUUAACAGAUGGAAACAGGAGGGCUGCCAUUCUAGAAAGAUAUGAGGACUGCUCAUCAGCCUGGCUUCCGCUAGAGGAGAUCUAC